CAAUAGCGUAUAUUAAAGUUGUUGCAGUUAAAAAGCUCGUAGUUGGACCUUGGACCUGGACAGGCGGUCCGCCUCACGGCGUGUACUGUCUUGCUGGGCCUUUCCUCUUGGUGAUCUGUUGUUUCGGCAGCAGGGAACCAGGACUUUUACUUUGAAAAAAUUAGAGUGUUCAAAGCAGGCUCGACGCCGGAAUAUAUUAGCAUGGAAUAAUAAAAUAGGACGUGCGGUUCUAUUUUGUUGGUUUUUGGAAUCGCCGUAAUGAUUAAUAGGGACAGUCGGGGGCAUUAGUACUCACAUGCUAGAGGUGAAAUUCUUGGAUUUUGUGAAGACUAACUUCUGCGAAAGCAUUUGCCAAGGAUGUUUUCAUUAA
rnacentral:rRNA from 1 species